CACAGAGACCGGAAGGGCCUGGGGGAUGGACGUGGCACAAGGGAAGCCCGGGGAGAACCGCCCGCCGCAGAGGAAAGCGGGCCGGCAGGCGAGGGAGCCCGCGUCGGCUGACAGCCCACAGGCCCCCACAGGGACACCUGGUCGCCAUCACGUGGACACGCUAUUUUUGCACUCGAGGCUAUUCCAGGAAGUCCAUCCAGACAGAGCACGCCUUCCCCAGCCUCCUCUUCUCGGCCUGCAGCCCUGCUCUCCCCACGUCUGGUGGUCUGUAAAGAGGGCUUGUUCUGCGUGGGUGGGACCUGCUCUAGAUCCGUCUUGGAAAAUGAGCUCAUGCCGUUGGCGUAGGCACCAUUCCUGCCCCCAUGCCACUCUGCCCCGGGGCCUGCUGGCUGACGUCCACGAGCCUGUCUGUGCCCUCGCUGCGGCCGACUCUCUCUAGGAGCGUCCUCACAGGAUGCAGAACCUCCCUUUGAGCUUGGUGUUCCCUGCUCCUCACAGACCCACCCCCAGCCUUUCCCAGCUGUCCGCAUCACCACUGUCCGGGGCUUGUUCACUUCAGGCCCUGGAGGGCCAGCCCAGCCCUCACUGGUGUCCGGAGUCAGUGAUACACAGCGCUCGAGUGACUCUUCCCACCCACAGGAAGUGGGUGAUGAGGUGCCCCCCGGGGGCUGUCCCUUGCUGCUGCCCGCCAGGAUCUCCCUGCUUGGGACUACAGCGUGCCGGGGGGGGCGGUCAGGCUGGAGUUGGUGUGGGAGCCUUUCCCAGCCUUUCCUCUGCAUUGGUGCCCUCCCCAGGAGGCAUCUGAGCUGCAAAAGGGGCGAAUGCGAUGUAGACACUUGGGCCCCGGGACUCGCCUGUGUCAUCUGGGCUGGGCCCCACAAACACCACAAACACCUUUUCCAUCACGCAAUAGAUGGCUGCUGGGCUGCCCAAGGGUGUGAUGUGGAGCUGGGAAACCCAGCCUGGGAAGGCAGCGUUCCAGGAGCUGCUUUCCAAAAGAAGAAUAGCCUCCACCAGGAAGGUGUGGCUGAGCCCCACAGCCCCAGAAACCUGCGGAAGGCUCCACAGGGGGGCCUGCCAGAGGAUACACACCCACCCUACCUCCUGCACACGGGAUCCUCCAACCAGACAGUGUGGUCCAAGCAGCCUGGCUACUUUCACCUUAGCCAGCAGCCCUGGGCCACACUGGGGAUGGUCCCAAACAUGGCCUGUGCUGCUGUCACGGUGCUAAGGGGCCUGGCAAGCACGGGGUCUUUCUUGCUGGACGGAGGCACAGGUGCCAGAAUCUAUCUUUUGCCCUACAGUGUCCUGGCACAGCCUAGAUCUAUGGACCCCUUCACCGGGUGCUUUAUCCCCCACCCCCCAGAACUCCUGGGACCAUUGAGAUGCCCAGGAGAUGGGGGGGCCCUGUGCCUGUGUCCCGUUGCUGCUAUAGCAGCC
rnacentral:lncRNA from 1 species